GGGACCUACGCUGCCCUAGCGGUUAUGCUGGGGAGAAGAUGAGUGUGACUUAAGUCACCCGGCCCGGGUACAAGUCCCGGGUGGUGGAGGUGGGGUCUGGUGCUGCUAAAAUUUGGACAGUCCCCGCUUUCUGCUCUCUUCGGUUCAAACCAGCUGGUGGUCCGCCUGUUU
rnacentral:sRNA from 1 species